UGCGUUCGCGCCUUGGAUAACUGCUUCGAAAAAUCGGGGCGGACUUAAAACUGGAGAAGAUGAAAUGAAGAAGUUCUUGCUCGGCACCGUGGCACUCGUUGCCCUCGGUACUGCUUCGGCGGUCGCCGCUGAUCUGCCGGCCCGCACCUACACCAAGGCGCCGGUUUAUGCCGCUCCGAUCUACAACUGGACCGGCUUCUACGUCGGCGGGCACAUCGGCGCCGCUUUCGGUGGUGAUGAUGGGUUCGCAACCAACAUCGUCGGCCUGACCGGCUCGAACCGCG
rnacentral:misc_RNA from 1 species